rnacentral:rRNA from 1 species
UACGGAGGGUGCAAGCGUUAUUCGGAAUUACUGGGCGUAAAGCGCGUGUAGGCGGGAAGGUAAGUCUGAUGUGAAAGCCCUGGGCUCAACCUGGGAAGUGCAUUGGAUACUGCUUUUUUUGUGUUCUGGCGAGGAUGGGGGAAUUCCCGGUGUAGAGGCGAAAUUCGUAGAGAUCGGGAGGAAUAUCAGUGGCGAAGGCGCCCAUCUGGACGGCAACUGACGCUGAGACGCGAAAGCGUGGGGAGCAAACAGG